AAGUCGUAACAAGGUUUCCGUAGGUGAACCUGCGGAAGGAUCAUUCGUGUAAUUUUAAAAAUAAUAUUAUAUGUUGUGUGUUUUAUACGCAUAUAUAUAUUAUUAUAAAAAAACCUUUGUGAACCGUAAUGACCUAGUAGAAAAAGCAGGCAUUACAAACAGUCUGACUGGGUGUGUUUUAUAUAUUCAUUUAUAUAUAUAUACUUUAAAUUCUUUUUACAUAAUGUUUUAAACAAUAUAAUACAUAAAAAUUGUACAACCUUUAACAAUGGAUCUCUUGGCUCCU
rnacentral:misc_RNA from 1 species